rnacentral:lncRNA from 1 species
AUAUUCCAAUGAUUUAACAGUUGUACGAGAUCUUGUCAUGAUUUUGUUAAGUUUUAGUGCUUUUCUACGUUUUAGUGAAUUGAGUCAAUUGAAAUGCAAUGAUGUCACAAUUAAAGAAGGUUAUUUGGUACUUAAAAUUAGGAAGAGUAAGACUGACCAGUAUAGAGCUGGAGAUGAGGUGUUGGUAUCUAAGGGGCAGUCUUUAGCUUGUCCUUAUUCUAUGUUUUUAAGAUAUCUUGGUUUGGCGAAUAUUGAAAUAUCCACAGACAUGUAUUUAUUUCGUCCUUUGUAUAGAUCUAAAGAUAAAUGUGGUUUGAUUAAGGUUAACAGGCCUAUAAGUUAUACUACUGCAAGAGAAUGUAUGAUAAAGCGUUUGAAAAUGGUCGCUCCAGAGCUUAACCUUGGUUUACAUUCUUUACGGUCAGGAGGUGCCACUUCGGCUGCUAAUGCAGGUGUUAAUGACAGGUGUUGGAAAAGACACGGAAGGUGGAAGAGUGAUUCAAGUAAGGAUGGUUAUGUAGCAGAUUCUGUUGCUAACCGAUUACAAGUUUCAGAGCAUUUGGGUUUAUAAAUUGUAUUGUGUUCAAAUUUUUUGCUGUUUAGCUGUCCUUUAUUUGAAGGUUUUUGUUUUGUACAUUACUGUGAUUAUUACCAAUUGGUCAGUUUUUUUCUUUAUACUCUAUCUUUGUUGUUCUAUAUACGCAGCGAGCUAGUCAACAAACUUAAGUUUGUAGUUGAGUUAUUUUUUUUAGAUGCUAAGGUACAUGAGUAUAGAGAAGACUAGAUAAUUCCCGCGGCACGCAGUAAAGCGUGAAUUUAUUGUCUUCUCGGUAAGGUAUUUCCGAGGCGUAUGAAUUUUUGGCGCCAAAAAUUGUAGUGGUAAAUAGAUAGUUAUAUGAGUAUCAUUUCUAGCCUUGCGUUCGUACUGUGUACAUCAAAUUUUUUCAUAUAAGCAUAAAGAAUGCUCAAUUUGACAAUUGUUAAUUGUUAAUGGUCUGUUAUAUAUAUUUUUUAUAUAUAUGGUAUGGCUAUAUAACCGUAAUCGGAUUUGGAUUAUAUGUUGUGUCUUAUAAAUUUUUUAUAGCCGUAGUCUUCGGACUAAAACUCCCUUUUAUUAAGUUAGAUUGAGCAUUUUUUGGUACAUGAACAUUUAUGUUAUAUGAGUGCGGUCCAACACUUGAGUUUCGCUUGGCAUUGACAAAAGGACGCAGGUUUCCAAAUUGGUUUUUCCUGAUCGGCCACGAAACAGUAUUUUGUGUGUUUUGAAUAUUGAUAAUUUGGAAGAUGAUGGCAAAUAGUAUUUUGUAUAUAUGUUAUGUUGUUAUAAUAUUGCUGUAUUGUAAUAAAAGCGGCAGCUCAGAAAAGAUAUACGCAGCGAGCUAGUCAACAAACUUAAGUUUGUAGUUGAGUUAUUUUUCUUAGAUGCUAAGGUACAUGAGUAUAGAGAAGACU